UGGAAGUCCCAGUGCUGUUGAUGGAUGGCAGGGCCUUCCUCAGUGCAGUUCUGCAGAAUUACCUGCUCUCCUCUUACAUCAAAACAGAGAGAACCUGGGUCUGUGUGCAGAUGGAUAUAGCUCAGGGUAGACAUUGGCUAGAAACCAGUGGAAUGUCCGGCAACCCAGCCUUCUUUGAAGCUGCAGACGCUCUGUGCAGUUUGGCUUCGCAGCCUGGUGGAAGAAAAGGACACUGUCCACAAGCCCUACCGCAGGUUUGCACUUUGUUACAAGGCAGAAAACCUUCCUCUGUGUGAGUUCUGUUACCCCACCUUUCUUGCUGAUGGGACAAGCUGGCAAAUCUACCCAACCUGUGACUUCAAGCAUUGGACAUGCUGACCUCGAACUUCUACACAACUACGCUUGAGAGAGGUGGAACUAGAAGAAAAUGCAGCACUUGCUCCUGCCUUUCAGGGCAGCCUCCAGGUCAGUCGGGGAGCUGGUAUCUCGGCUUCGGUAGAUGUGACCCACUCGGGAGCAGGGGAGGAUUUCAACUGAGCCACCACAGAGCCAGGCCUGUCACAGAGAGAGAAGCUCUCUGCCUCCUGUCUGGCACCAUGUGAACAAACUGGCACCACAGGCUCCUGCAGCAUGGACUGAGGCACUCUUGCUGCCAGCCCCCAUGCCAUGAUGCUCUGAGAAUCUCUGAACCGUGAGCCAAGACACAUCCUCUCUUAACUUGCUCUGUCAGGCAUUUUGUCACAGUGAGGAGAAAAGUAACAAAUACAAGCUUUCUCCUCCUCUCUUCCCA